rnacentral:tRNA from 1 species
GACACUUUGGCCGAGUGGUUAAGGCAGCGGCCUGGUAAGCCGUUUGGUUAUGCCCGCGAGGGUUCGAAUCCCUCAGGUGUCG